rnacentral:rRNA from 1 species
UACGUAGGGUGCAAGCGUUAAUCGGAAUUACUGGGCGUAAAGCGUGCGCAGGCGGUUUUGUAAGUUUGUCGUGAAAGCCCCGGGCUCAACCUGGGAAUUGCGAUGAAGACUGCAAGGCUUGAAUCUGGCAGAGGGGGGUAGAAUUCCACGUGUAGCAGUGAAAUGCGUAGAGAUGUGGAGGAACACCGAUGGCGAAGGCAGCCCCCUGGGCCAAUACUGACGCUCAUGCACGAAAGCGUGGGGAGCAAACAGG